GGGGAGCAUUUCACCUGAGCUUUGGUGACUUGUUUUGGUGCAAAAACACUAGACGCUCCUGAAGGUGUUCUGGAAAAACUCCAAAUGACCUCAUUUGUUUGCGAAUAUCUUUCUCAAUUCGAGAAGAUCGCAAAUCGGACAUCGGAUAUGGCACUGCACUAACUGAUGCACACAUUUAUAUCAGGAAGUCUUAGGGAUUAGCUUCUCUCCCUGUUGAUCUAAAUGAUGCUAUUGGGAUGUCUUAUUUACAAGAGCAAAAGUUAUCGGGCUUGGUAAGCCCAACUCAUAAACUACUACUUCUCAUUACCCAGGCCCUUAAUUUUUCCAGUCACUGAAAUAUCCCUUCCAUUUCUCUGAC
rnacentral:misc_RNA from 1 species